GACGAACGCUGGCGGCGUGCUUAACACAUGCAAGUCGAACGGAAAGGCCCUGCUUUUGUGGUGUGCUCGAGUGGCGAACGGGUGAGUAACACGUGAGUAACCUGCCCUUGACUUUGGGAUAACUUCAGGAAACUGGGGCUACUACCGGAUAGGAGCUCCUGCUGCAUGGUGGGGGUUGGAAAGUUUCGGCGGUUGGGGAUGGACUGGCGGCUUAUCAGCUUGUUGGUGGGGGAGUGGCUUACCAAGGCUUUGACGGGUAGCCGGCCUGAGAGGGUGACCGGCCACAUGGGGCCUGAGAGACGGCCCAGAGUCGUACGGGAGGCAGUAGGGGGGAGUAUGGCACAAUGGGCGGAAGCCUGAUGCAGCAACGCUGCGUGCGGGAUGACGGCUUUCGGGUUGUAAACCGCUUUCGCUUGUGACGAAGCGUGAGUGACGGUAAUGGGUAAAGAAGCACCGGCUAACUACGUG
rnacentral:rRNA from 1 species